GAUGAACGCUGACAGAAUGCUUAACACAUGCAAGUCAACUUGAACUUCGGUUUGGGUGGCGGACGGGUGAGUAGCGCGUAAAGAACUUGCCUCACAGUUAGGGACAACAUUUGGAAACGAAUGCUAAUACCUGAUAUUAUGAUUUUAGGGCAUCCUAGAAUUAUGAAAGCUAUAUGCGCUGUGAGAGAGCUUUGCGUCCCAUUAGCUAGUUGGAGAGGUAACGGCUCACCAAGGCGAUGAUGGGUAGCCGGCCUGAGAGGGUGAACGGCCACAAGGGGACUGAGACACGGCCCUUACUCCUACGGGAGGCAGAAGGGGGGAAUAUUGGACAAGGGACCAAGAGUCUGAUCCAGAAAUUCUGUGUGCAAGAUGAAGUUUUUCGGAAUGUAAAGUGCUUUCAGUUGGGAAGAAAAAAAUGACGAUACCAACAGAAGAAGUGACGGCUAAAUACGUG
rnacentral:rRNA from 1 species